AAAAGACAGAGAAGGGUUGCAACUCUUUUAAAAAUCUCUAUACUUUGUUUUGCAAUGGUAGCCCCGCUGGUGGCUUCGCAAUUGUACUCUGUGAACCCCGCCAGGACCGGAAGGUAGCAACGGUAGCAGAUCUAUGAUGUGCCGAAGUUUUGCUAGUGGGGUUGCCACCAUUCUUUU
rnacentral:sRNA from 1 species